rnacentral:snoRNA from 12 species
AUGCUGUGAUGACAUCCACGUGGUUUCGCUUCUGGCUGAGUUUCAGUGAUGACACUUCUCUUGGCUGUCUGAGCAU